CAUGGCGUUUGAACGAAUUAAUUUUAUUCCUCGUGUCAUUGAAGAUAACCCAAACGGCUGGGUUCCUACCUCUGUUUCAGAUGCAUUUAAAGGAAUACCUUAUCAUCCAUUCUCUAAAGGAGAUAAACUUGGAAAGGUUUCUGAUUGGUCAAGUACAGCCUAUCAAGAUGGUUGAUACCAAAAUAAAUACUUAAAUCAAUUUGGUGGUGGUAAUCAAUAUGCAUAUUAUCACGAAGAAGAUGAAUCAACUUUCCAUCUUGUUGACACAAGUCGAUCACAAAAGCCUGUUUACAUGCGCAAUAGGAACAAAUUCAAUCAGAGGAAUAAUCGACGUGAUAAAGAGCAUCAAAUGCAAUGUCAGCAAGCUGGGAUGCAGAAUUUGCUGAAGAUUUGUGACAACAGACUCCAUUGUAAAUUACAAAAACAAUUUGCCAACAGAAACAACUGGCAAGAAUGAAGAAAUCAGACUCCUCAGAGGAUACGU